rnacentral:rRNA from 1 species
AUUGAACGCUGGCGGCAGGCCUAACACAUGCAAGUCGAACGGUAAUAGGAAACAGCUUGCUGUUUCGCUGACGAGUGGCGGACGGGUGAGUAAUGUCUGGGAAACUGCCUGAUGGAGGGGGAUAACUACUGGAAACGGUAGCUAAUACCGCAUAACGUCGCAAGACCAAAGAGGGGGACCUUCGGGCCUCUUGCCAUCGGAUGUGCCCAGAUGGGAUUAGCUAGUAGGUGGGGUAACGGCUCACCUAGGCGACGAUCCCUAGCUGGUCUGAGAGGAUGACCAGCCACACUGGAACUGAGACACGGUCCAGACUCCUACGGGAGGCAGCAGUGGGGAAUAUUGCACAAUGGGCGCAAGCCUGAUGCAGCCAUGCCGCGUGUAUGAAGAAGGCCUUCGGGUUGCAAAGUACUUUCAGCGGGGAGGAAGGGAGUAAAGUUAAUACCUUUGCUCAUUGACGUUACCCGCAGAAGAAGCACCGGCUAACUCCGUGCCAGCAGCCGCCGUAA